rnacentral:rRNA from 1 species
UACAGAGGUCUCAAGCGUUGUUCGGAUUCAUUGGGCGUAAAGGGUGCGUAGGCGGCGCGGUAAGUCGGGUGUGGAAUCUCGGGGCUUAACUCCGAAACUGCAUUCGAUACUGCCGUGCUUGAGGACUGGAGAGGAGACUGGAAUUUACGGUGUAGCGGUGAAAUGCGUAGAUAUCGUAAGGAAGACCAGUGGCGAAGGCGAGUCUCUGGACAGCAACUGACGCUGAGGCACGAAGGCCAGGGGAGCAAACGGG